GCUCAUGCUUCAUUCAACAUCCUUUAGCUUAUCAGCUUAUGAUACCAAGUCCAGCUCAUGGACUAACAAUGUCAAGUCCUCUCAUGGACUAGUAAUGCCGAUCAGAUCCUAAGUCAAUCAACCAACCAUCCCACAUGACUCAGAACUGAUGAGUCUUCACACUUACUCAACCGGCCAUGGAACCUUGUCCCAACGGAGCCGAUCAGUCUUGCUCUAACAUCCGGUCCAUCCUUUGAUCAAUCAGGCUGACACCAUAUUCCAUCACCAAUGGAUCAGGUCGUCCAUCCUUUCCCAAGAUCGGAUAACACACGGCUCAGUACUUAUGGUCCACACCACCAAGUACGAGCUAUACUUUUCUUUAU
rnacentral:lncRNA from 1 species